rnacentral:misc_RNA from 1 species
GAAAUGCGAUAAGUAGUGUGAAUUGCAGAAUUCAGUGAAUCAUCGAAUCUUUGAACGCACAUUGCGCCCCUUGGUAUUCCAUGGGGCAUGCCUGUUCGAGCGUCAUUUGUACUCUCAAGCUAUGCUUGGUGUUGGGUGUUUGUCCAGCUUUCAAGAGUUUGGACUCGCCUUAAAGUGAUUGGCAGCCAGUGUUUUGGUAUAGAGCGCAGCACAUUUUGCGAUUUAAUCCAGUAAUACUAGCAACCAACAAGCUCAAUUUAUCACUUUUGACCUCGGAUCAGGUAGGGAUACCCGCUGAACUUAA